ensembl:lncRNA
CAAAAAGGUGGGAAAUGGAGCUCAGGGACAGCAUGUCCGCACAGCUGAAUGACAUGGGUGGCAGUGUGCUGCCCAGCUGGCAGCUGAGGGGCUGUUUUCCAACAUAGAGCCACUCAGAGCUGAAGUUCUGCCUUCCCAGGUUUACAGAUGUGUGCUCCUUGUUCACCCACUGACCCUCAUCUGUGAGUCUGGGGGCAGAUCCCCAGGUUUGCCAGGCAAUGUGUGCUUCUUCCUGCUGUCAAGGGAAACAGUGUCUUGCAUGCAUUCUGAUUUUUUUUAUUAUUUUUUCUUGUGUCCACAGCAUACUAAUUAGUUCAAGCUUUAGAAUGAGCUGAAAAUGAGCUACAGAUGGGUGCUCAGAGCAACAGAAUGCUGCUAUUUGUUUAAAGCCUAUUAUGUAUUUUCUCACCCAAAAUGCAAAGCAGAGUAAGAGCUGGCAAGAGACAGCCAAUUUGUUCUGAGCUUCCUUGGUGGCCUGGUUUUCUAGCACAUUUCUUAUCAUGAAUGUCAUCUCUCCACUUGGAAUGGACAGCAGCAAUGAUAGACAUGCAAUGAUCAGCAGCAAACAGAUUUUAACCUUAUUUAACUGGUGGAAGCUGCUUCUGCUGAAGAUGAUACUUCUAUUCUGAAUGAGAAGUAGUUGGUAGCUUGAGAACAACCUUCAAAGGAGACCAGCAUUCUGUGCUGCAACAAGAAGGGGAGAGCUAAAGAGGAGGAGCUUGGAAAAGGAUCAUAUGAACAAACCAGUGGGCAGCACCAAGGUUGUCAGUCCAGCUUGAGCACUGAUAUGGGUGUCAAGAAUUUAUACGUUUCCAUUGUUAACAUACUUCUGUGUAUCCAUCACUGGGUUUAGGUUAAAAAACUUGGAGUUGUAGCAUACUGCAUAUUCAGACCAUGUAUCCACCAUCCAUGCAGAAAACCUAAUACAAUGGAUGACUGUUAACUGUGAAAUAGCUAGAUUAAUUUUCUAAGUGAACAGUGAAAAGAUAUUGCUUAGUAUUAUAUAUAUCCUCCCUUUGCCACAUCUCAAGUUCCCUGAAAACCUCCACAUAUCUCUGGAAAUGACUGUAUUCUUCUGAAAUAUCAUCUAGCUUAAUCCUGCUUGUGGAAGAAACCACAUCCAUCCUGUGCAAAUGAGAAGGAAAAUUAAAUUGUGGGUGUAACACAGUAACACAAUGGAAAUCACAGCAACGAUAGCAGAGUAGCAAAGUCCUAGGCUGCUGCAAAGGGGGAUGUGCU